AACAAGUUUAAGAAUGGAAUGUUGCAGAAAUUCUGGCAGAUGCGAAUGUAAGCUUGAUGGCAUCAUUUUCAUAUAACUGCUUGAAAUGCAUAUAUGCCACUAUCAGCAUUGAGCGUCUCGUGAACUGUCAAAUGUCAUAUAGGCCUCACACAGUUGAAAAUAGUGAAAAAAGUAAUCGGUUGACAGGUCUGCAUCUCGUAAGAUAUCGGAAGCCGUCUGACUUGGCCACAUCGCUCGGAAGUCCGAAGUACUAGAAAAAACCGCCAUCUGCUACCUUAAGGUAGCAGUUGGUAGUUUCCAGCCACAGAUUCGAAUUGGCCAGGGUCAAAAUCUGUCAUUAGAGAUAAGACCUUGAAGUGAAGGCAGUUUUGAUGUUUGAAAUAUUUGUUGAUGUGAGUUUGUGAUUAACAAGUUUAAGAAUGGUAUGUUGCAGAAAUUCUGGCAGAUGCGAAUGUAAGCUUGAUGGCAUCAUUUUCAUAUAACUGCUUGAAAUGCAUAUAUGCCACUAUCAGCAUUGAGCGUCUCGUGAACUGUCAAAUGUCAUAUAGGCCUCACACAGUUGAAAAUAGUGAAAAAAGUAAUCGGUUGACAGGUCUGCAUCUCGUAAAAUAUCGGAAGCCGUCUGACUUGGCCACAUCGCUCGGAAGUCCGAAGUACUAGAAAAAAACCGCCAUCUGCUACCUAAGAAACGAAG